rnacentral:rRNA from 1 species
UGGGGAAUAUUGGACAAUGGGCGAAAGCCUGAUCCAGCCAUGCCGCGUGAGUGAUGAAGGCCCUAGGGUUGUAAAGCUCUUUUGUGCGGGAAGAUAAUGACGGUACCGCAAGAAUAAGCCCCGGCUAACUUCGUGCCAGCAGCCGCGGUAAUACGAAGGGGGCUAGCGUUGCUCGGAAUCACUGGGCGUAAAGGGUGCGUAGGCGGGUCUUUAAGUCAGAGGUGAAAUCCUGGAGCUCAACUCCAGAACUGCCUUUGAUACUGAGGAUCUUGAGUUCGGGAGAGGUGAGUGGAACUGCGAGUGUAGAGGUGAAAUUCGUAGAUAUUCGCAAGAACACCAGUGGCGAAGGCGGCUCACUGGCCCGAUACUGACGCUGAGGCACGAAAGCGUGGGGAGCAAACAGG